rnacentral:rRNA from 1 species
GACGAACGCUGGCGGCGUGCCUAAUACAUGCAAGUUGAGCGCUGAAGGUUGGUACUUGUACCAACUGGAUGAGCAGCGAACGGGUGAGUAACGCGUGGGGAAUCUGCCUUUGAGCGGGGGACAACAUUUGGAAACGAAUGCUAAUACCGCAUAAAAACUUUAAACACAAGUUUUAAGUUUGAAAGAUGCAAUUGCAUCACUCAAAGAUGAUCCCGCGUUGUAUUAGCUAGUUGGUGAGGUAAAGGCUCACCAAGGCGAUGAUACAUAGCCGACCUGAGAGGGUGAUCGGCCACAUUGGGACUGAGACACGGCCCAAACUCCUUCGGGAGGCAGCAGUAUGGAAUCUUCGGCAAUGGACGAAAGUCUGACCGAGCAACGCCGCGUGAGUGAAGAAGGUUUUCGGAUCGUAAAACUCUGUUGGUAGAGAAGAACGUUGGUGAGAGUGGAAAGCUCAUCAAGUGACGGUAACUACCCAGAAAGGGACGGCUAACUACGUG